AGCGCAGGCGGGAUAGCAAGUCAGCUGUGAAAACUAUGGGCUCAACCCAUAAACUGCAGUUGAAACUGUUAUUCUUGAGUGGAGUAGAGGCAAGCGGAAUUCCGAGUGUAGCGGUGAAAUGCGUAGAUAUGGGGAGGAACACCAGUGGCGAAGGCGGCUUUCUGGACUGUGUCUGACACUGAGGCGCGAAAGCCAGGGGAGCGAACG
rnacentral:rRNA from 1 species